rnacentral:rRNA from 1 species
GACGAACGCUGGCGGCGUGGAUUAGGCAUGCAAGUCGAACGGUAGGAUACCUUCGGGUAUCUGAGAGUGGCGAACGGGUGAGUAACACGUAGGUGAUCUACCCUCAAGAUUGGGACAACCCAGGGAAACUUGGGCUAAUACCGGAUGAAAGCAGCAGUGAUGUUGUUUGAAAGGUGGCGUAAGCUGCCGUUUGGGGAUGAGCCUGCGCUCUAUUAGUUAGUUGGCGGGGUAAAGGCCCACCAAGGCGAUGAUAGAUAGGCGGCCUUAACGGGUGGUCGCCCACACUGGGAUUGAGAUACGGCCCAGACUCCUACGGGAGGCAGCAGUCGAGAAUAGUCUACAAUGGCCGAAAGGCUGAUAGUGCGACGCCGCGUGAACGAAGAAGCCCUUGGGUGUAAGUUCUUUUAUAUGUGAGCAGUGCUUUCUAUGUGAACAGCAUGGGGAGAGAGAUAUUAGCAUAUGAAUAAGCAACGGCUAACUCCGUGCCAGCA